rnacentral:rRNA from 1 species
UCUAAGUAUAAAUAGUAUACAGUGAAACUGCGAAUGGCUCAUUAAAACAGUUAUAGUUUAUUUGAUAUUUGGCGCAAGCCUACAUGGAUAACCGUGGUAAUUCUAGAGCUAAUACAUGCACUCAAAAAACCCGACUCUCGUGGGAGGGUUGUAUUUAUUAGAUAUCAGGCCAAUAUUCGCCGUCAAACGCGUCUAUUGUGGGGAAUCAUAGUAACUGAUCGAACCUCGGGUCCGCCGAGGUAAAUCAUUCAAGUUUCUGCCCUAUCACGCUCCUCGAUGGUAGUGUAUUGGACCACCAUGGCAGUCACGGGUAACGGAGAAUUAGGGUUCGGUUCCGGAGAGGGAGCCUGAGAAACGGCUACCACAUCUACGGAAGGCAGCAGGCGCGUAAAUUACCCAAUCCUGACUCAGGGAGGUAGUGACAAGAAAUAACCGCCUGGGGGCCCUCGCGGCCUUACGGGACGGCAAUGAGCACAAUUCAAACCCCUUAGCGAGGAACAAUUGGAGGGCAAGUCUGGUGCCAG